rnacentral:lncRNA from 1 species
GCGUUUAGAGGAUCAGUGGCGGCAGGCCCGCGCGGUGCCGGCGACUAGCAGCGAGAAGUCCCGGCUUCUUCCAGGUUUGGAGAUGGCAUUGGGGGACCAACCUCCCGAGGUUGUGAGGAUGACAACAGUACUCUGUGAUGCUGUCCCUCCUCAGGUUGGCUGCCAUCCCUGCUGAUGGAGAGAGACUGGAGACUGUCAGAGAAGAUUGUGCCGAUGCAGAGGCCUCCCAGUGAAGUGUGAAGGGAUGGGCCUUAACCAGGGUUGAAGAAAAAAAGUGAAGAAGGGAGAACCCAAGAAAAGGUGGGGACAGUUGGGACUUCUGAUUACAUUCGUCUGGUACACUUCUUUUGCACUGUAUGUUAUCAUCUCCAAAUUUCACAUUUAUUGUAGAAAUCUGCAGUGUGUAUGCCCCGGCCAAAUGCUGCUUGGCUAAAAAAGUGUUAAAUAAAACUGUAAGAAAUGCUA